CCUUUAAUUCUGUUGUGGCUAAAAGAAUCAGAAACAUAUUGAUCAGGAUCUGAAAAGGGAAACCCAAACUUUAUUCCACUCUUCAAAACAAGGUACAAUGCUCUUGGACUCAGUUUGCUGGAAAUAGAGCUGGAGAAGUUGUGCUUCACAGAAGCCUGUAGUGAGCAGAGAGCACUAAACAAACAAAAAGUAGACCAUCGUCUGUAAGGAGAUAUAAUUCAGCAGUUGCACAUGGACUGAAUGACCAAGAGUUUGGAUCGUGCUCACCAGUGGAUUCCCUGUAAAGGCUUUAUUUAGUUGCUAACCGAUAUGUUUCCAUCGUUAUAGCAACCAGUUACUACAUAUGCCUGUUCAGGAAGGACAUGAUUGUUGUUUUGUUGUGUAUUUUAAUUAUGUAUGUAUUUUAUAAUUGAUUUCAUAGUUGGAAACCACUUACAAGUCAUUCUGGCAUGUAAGUGAUAGAUAAAUUAAUGAUAACGACAUGAAUUUCCUAAUGAGAACCUUGAUUUAAAUCAAAGAUUGGAAGAGUACCCAAUUAUUUUCA